UUCAAAAGCACUGUUUUCUAUAUACGCCUAUACUCUCCAAAACCAUAUAUCAAUGUUUUCGAUAAAUGCAAACCUGGUGAAAUAGUGGCGCUGUUGUCAAUAAAGGUCUAAGGUUAAGUUAGCUUAACAUUAUAUUCAAUGCUUAUUUAAAAAAUAAAUUGAUAGAUGCGUUUGAUCCCAUAAUUUUUUCAAGUGAUAUGUUUUCGUUGUGCAUAACAAAAAUGUUGAGUUAAUACCAAUUUACAGAAAAUCAUUUGCAUAACCAUACUAUCUACAUAUAUAUCAUAAAAUGAUACUUUACUCAUAAUGUGUUUGUUGCGAAUUAUUCGAUAUCAGCAACAUACUAUUUUUCUAUUAACUGCAAGGGAAUCGUUACUAAUUAAUCCAUCCAAAGGAAAGGGUAACGUCGUCGUUGAAUUUAAAAGAAAUUUCAACGCCACGUUUAGGUUAUCUAUUAAACAGAAAUACAAGAAGCAAAAGAUUCUAUCAAACAUUUACAAAGUUGGUUGAAGGACAUUAUGAACAGGUCCAGUUAAUAUAUUGAAGAGUACUCUGAUCAUAGCAAAGAUAAAUAUUUGGAACCCAAAAAGACACUAUAAUACAUAAAUGUAUUGACAAAAAUAGUAUGAAGUAAAGGAAAUGUUUCUACAAGGAAUAUUUUGGGAAUGCUUCUGUGACCAUCAUUUGUUUUGGCACGCAUAUAUAUUGCGCAAUACUUAAAUAUGCUACCAUUGCCAAUGAUGGUGGGAGGAAAAACAAUAAUACAUUAGGAAGACUCCUGGAAGGACUGAAGAAAGCAUUAUCUACAGUGAAGAACGUGAAUUAUUUAGAAAACAAAUUAAAAAGGAAAAUCCAAAACGAUAAAGGAAAGAGGAAUAAUCGAAUCUUAACAGCAAAAUCAUGGAGAAAGAACAAUGAGUUACAGGAUCUUUCACAAGAGAUUUUUCAUCAGAGGGAGCUUCUCAUUUUGUAUUGCAGAAAAAAUAGAAAAUUUUAAAUAUUUAGAAGAUCAUCCUCAAAUUAUCGAAGAUGAAUUGCACAAGUAAAAAUUAAUAUGCAAAAUUUACGUGAGCCUAAUGUAAUUCUUUGAUGCAUAAGUAUACUUUGAAAAUGAGGUAGAAGAAUAUUGUGAAUUUUACAGUCAUUUUGACAAGAAGUUGAAAAGGAGCCGCCUGAAGAAAACAAAAUGUGGAAAUGGAAUAAUGGGUUCAGACCAAAUAAUCUGGAUUUAGACCAUCGAAGAAAAGAGCCUUCAACAAUACGGAACAAGCAACAAGGAUGUUACACAAACGCGAGCCUCUUGUGAAAAUCAAAUUUAGCAGCAACAAAUGAUACGACAGGUUGCAGAUUGCAACAGAGUAUUCUAAGAUUUACACAUCAACGAAGAAAUAAUCGAAAGGAUGAAAUUAUUAAAUAUAUGUACUCUAAUAUUCGAUGACCACUGUGACGAAAUGAUGAUUGAAAGCGAAACGUUACCAUGAAAAAGGAUAUUAAACAGCAACAACAUAGUAAUAACACAAAUACAUUCUGUUAAAAUCACUUGUCAGCUGACAAAUGAUUUUUAAUACUAUCGGUUAUUGAAAUAAUAGUCAAAAAAAUGAAAGUUACUCAAAAUUCACUUUUAGAUUGCAAUUAACAAGUAGGUAAUAAACUUUAAUGCGAAUUUUAAAUAAGCUAAACUUUUCAUAAAACUCACAUCAGAAGAUUUAAAGAUCAGAAAAUUUUUGAUAGUUUUAUAGUCUACCAUCAAAAAAUGUUUAGGAUUGUUUUCUUUAGGGUCAAUUGUAUCAAUUACAUUAAAUGGUGGACAUAUAUUUAUUUAUAUGAGCGAUAUUCAAAAUUUUAUAAAGCGCUCUUUUGAUCAUUCAAAAAAGAAAUUCUUAAAGAAAGAUAAAGUACGAAUGAAUGUUAUAAAUUCGCCCACGUACUUCGACAAGGUUCUUCUCUUAUAAAUGGGUUUCAAUAUAUUAUAUAUAUUCAGUAAAACGUUAAUUUAUUUAAUAAAUUUAAUAUUUCUAUAAUGUCUGACAUCGGGAACAAUGUAAUGUUCAUAUCCAGCGCACUCCCUGCAAUUUUAUCGGAAUAAUGCAAAAAUAUUACAUCCGAAAUUUUCGAAUAGUUCUCAAAAAUUUUUCUUCCCUCGAUAUUAUAUAACAUCGGUACAUUGGCCGAAUGGAUCUUUAAAUUGUUUCAACUAUUGUAUAAGCGAACGUCGCAAUUAGAAUUAAUACUUUACAUUUGCUAAUUUUGUUAUAACGUGUGUCUAUCAAUAAAACAUCUAUCUGUUA